GCAGGUAACGAGCUGAUCAGGAUCAGGUGUGCCAGGCAGGUAGACCACGCCCACUGCCACACCUGAGCAGGAGGAACUUAGGAAAAACAGAUGAACACAGUCUCACAGCCUGUCCUCCACCAUGAGCCUGACCCUGCGCAGGAACAUCAAGCAUCUCCGCCGUCCUCUUCAACCGGACCAAGGAGCUCGACCUCCGUGCAGAAGGUGUUCACGUAUGAGAUCAUGAAAAACACAAGUCCCGUUGUGAAUCCUUUACUGUGUGUUACAGAUGGUCUGUGGAUCUACAUUUGCUGAUCAUAGUCUAGGAAGGAAAAAGUAUGCGCUCAAAAAUUCACCAGCAAAAUAAAAUAUUAACUCCAAAAAGGUCAAAGCAGGUCCCAGAAUUCCUUGAUUGUUUGUGAUUCGAUGAGAAUAAAUCCAAACGUUAAAAGUUUUAUAUAACCAAAGUCUUUAAAAACCAAAAACAUCAUAGCUGGUCUGAAGAUGGAAAUCUGGAACUGUUAAAACCAACAAGUCUUACAUUAUAUUUAACGUUAAAAUGUGUUCACAUGGUGCAGUCAGGAUAACUCCAAAUGAUUCAUGCGUACUUGUUCUUCCACAGACCAAUAUGAAUGUUAAAAUGUAUAAAGUAUCACUUUUUGAUCAUGGUGUAAGUAGGUUGAGUAACUUUGUUGUUUAGUAUAUUCUGUUACUUCCCUUUGUGUCGAAACUUUGUGAAGAAAAAGUUUGUCUUGGCAUGAAUCCAAAAUUAUUUUUCUUUUCUUCACAAGACGUCUCCAUGCAAAGGAAAGUAAAAGUAUUAUUAUAGGAGUAUUUAAAA